rnacentral:rRNA from 1 species
AUUGAACGCUGGCGGCAGGCCUAACACAUGCAAGUCGAGCGGUAGAGAGAAGCUUGCUUCUCUUGAGAGCGGCGGACGGGUGAGUAAUGCCUAGGAAUCUGCCUGGUAGUGGGGGAUAACGUUCGGAAACGGACGCUAAUACCGCAUACGUCCUACGGGAGAAAGCAGGGGACCUUCGGGCCUUGCGCUAUCAGAUGAG